rnacentral:rRNA from 1 species
AUUGAACGCUGGCGGCAUGCUUUACACAUGCAAGUCGAACGGCAGCGGGGAGGAGCUUGCUUCUCUGCCGGCGAGUGGCGAACGGGUGAGUAAUACAUCGGAACGUGUCGAGAAGAGGGGGAUAACCACCCGAAAGGGUGGCUAAUACCGCAUAAAUUCUGAGGAAGAAAGCUGGGGACCUAGGAAUAGGCCUAGCGCUUUUUGAGCGGCCGAUGUCGGAUUAGCUAGUUGGUGAGGUAAAGGCUCACCAAGGCGAAGAUCUGUAGCGGGUCUGAGAGGAUGAUCCGCCAACCUGGAACUGAGACACGGCCCAGACUCCUACGGGAGGCAGCAGUGGGGAAUUUGGACAAUGGGGGCAACCCUGAUCCAGCCAUGCCGCGUGUAUGAAGAAGGCCUUAGGGUUGUAAAGUACUUUUGUUAGGGAAGAAAAGUCAGCUGUGAAUAAUGGCUGAUACUGACGGUACCUAAAGAAUAAGCACCGGCUAACUACGUG